CACUCCUGCGGGAGGCAGCAGUGGGGAAUUUUGGACAAUGGGCGAAAGCCUGAUCCAGCCAUGCCGCGUGCAGGAUGAAGGCCUUCGGGUUGUAAACUGCUUUUGUACGGAACGAAACGGCCUUUUCUAAUAAAGAGGGCUAAUGACGGUACCGUAAGAAUAAGCACCGGCUAACUACGUGCCAGCAGCCGCGGUAAUACGUAGGGUGCAAGCGUUAAUCGGAAUUACUGGGCGUAAAGCGUGCGCAGGCGGUUAUGUAAGACAGUUGUGAAAUCCCCGGGCUCAACCUGGGAACUGCAUCUGUGACUGCAUAGCUAGAGUACGGUAGAGGGGGAUGGAAUUCCGCGUGUAGCAGUGAAAUGCGUAGAUAUGCGGAGGAACACCGAUGGCGAAGGCAAUCCCCUGGACCUGUACUGACGCUCAUGCACGAAAGCGUGGGGAGCAAACAGGAUUAGAAACCCCGGUAGUCCCAUGAU
rnacentral:rRNA from 1 species